CGAGCCGGGCGGACGGUCGCGUCGGUGGGUCUCCCACCGCCGAGGAAGGUCCGGGCUCCGAAGGGCAGGAUGGUGGCCAACAGCCACCCGGGGCGACCCGCGGGACAGUGCCACAGAGAACAGACCGCCGUCGGUGCGCGAGCACCGGCGGCAAGGGUGAAACGGUGGUGUAAGAGACCACCAGCGGCCUGGGUGACCAGGUCGGCUCGGUAAACCCCAUCCGGAGCAAGCCCAGACAGCGUGCGACCAAGGGCGGCCCGCCCGAGCACGCGGGUAGGGCGCUGGAGGCGGUCGGCAACGGCCGCCCGAGAUGGAUGACCGUCACCGGUCCGUCGGCGACGACGGUCCGGGACAGAACCCGGCCUACAGCCCGGCUCGUCCC
rnacentral:RNase_P_RNA from 1 species